rnacentral:rRNA from 1 species
GGAAGACGGCCCUAUGGGUUGUAAACUGCUUUUGUACGGGAAGAAACACCCCCUCGUGAGGGGGCUUGACGGUACCGUAAGAAUAAGGAUCGGCUAACUCCGUGCCAGCAGCCGCGGUAAUACGGAGGAUCCAAGCGUUAUCCGGAAUCAUUGGGUUUAAAGGGUCCGUAGGUGGACGGUUAAGUCAGGGGUGAAAGUCUGCAGCUCAACUGUAGAAUUGCCUUUGAUACUGGUCGUCUUGAAUCAUUGUGAAGUGGUUAGAAUAUGUAGUGUAGCGGUGAAAUGCAUAGAUAUUACAUAGAAUACCGAUUGCGAAGGCAGAUCACUAACAAUGUAUUGACACUGAUGGACGAAAGCGUGGGUAGCGAACAGGAUUAGAUACCC